rnacentral:rRNA from 1 species
GACGAACGCUGGCGGCGUGCUUAACACAUGCAAGUCGAACGAAGUGGCGAACGGGUGAGUAACGAGUAAUCAACCUGCCCUUCAGAGGGGGACAACAGUUGGAAACGACUGCUAAUACCGCAUACUGAAGGAGGGGAAUGCGUGGGAUUAGCUAGUUGGAGGGGUAACGGCCACCCAAGGCGAUGAUCAGGAGCCGGGCUGAGAGGAUGAACGGCCACAUGGGGACUGAGACACGGCCCAGACUCCUACGGGAGGCAGCAGUGGGGAAUCUUCCGCAAUGGACGAAAGUCUGACGGAGCAACGCCGCGUGAGUGAUGACGGCCUUCGGGUUGUAAAGCGCUGUUAAUCGGGACGCGGUACCGGAAUAGAAAGCCACGGCUAACUCCGUGCCAGCCGCCGCGGUAAUAC